rnacentral:rRNA from 1 species
GAUGAACGCUGGCGGUAUGCCUAACACAUGCAAGUCGUACGAGAGUUUUUAAUUCUAGUGGCGGACGGGUGAGUAACACGUGAGAAUUUACCUUUAGGAGGGGGAUAACAAUUGGAAACGAAUGCUAAUACCCCAUAUGCUUUUGAGUGAAAUGGAUUUUAUCCGCCUAGAGAGAAGCUCGCGGCUGAUUAGCUUGUUGGUAAGGUAAGAGCUUACCAAGGCGACGAUCAGUAUCUGGUUUGAGAGGACGAUCAGACACACUGGAACUGAGACACGGUCCAGACUCCUACGGGAGGCAGCAGUGGGGAAUUUUCCGCAAUGGGCGAAAGCCUGACGGAGCAAUACCGCGUGAGGGAAGAAUGCCUAUGGGUUGUAAACCUCUUUUUCAGGGAGGAAUAAAAUGACGUGUACCUGAAGAAUAAGCAUCGGCUAACUCCGUG